rnacentral:rRNA from 1 species
GACGAACGCUGGCGGCGUACUUAACACAUGCAAGUCGAACGGAAAGGCCCUGCUUUUGUGGGGUGCUCGAGUGGCGAACGGGUGAGUAACACGUGAGUAACCUGCCCUUGACUUUGGGAUAACUUCAGGAAACUGGGGCUAAUACCGGAUAGGAGCUCCUGCUGCAUGGUGGGGGUUGGAAAGUUUCGGCGGUUGGGGAUGGACUCGCGGCUUAUCAGCUUGUUGGUGGGGUAGUGGCUUACCAAGGCUUUGACGGGUAGCCGGCCUGAGAGGGUGGCCGGCCACAUUGGGACUGAGAUACGGCCCAGACUCCUACGGGAGGCAGCAGUGGGGAAUAUUGCACAAUGGGCGGAAGCCUGAUGCAGCAACGCCGCGUGCGGGAUGACGGCCUUCGGGUUGUAAACCGCUUUCGCCUGUGACGAAGCGUGAGUGACGGUAAUGGGUAAAGAAGCACCGGCUAACUACGUG